CGGACGAACGCUGGCGGCGUGCUUAACACAUGCAAGUCGAACGGUAACAGGUCUUCGGAUGCUGACGAGUGGCGAACGGGUGAGUAAUACAUCGGAACGUGCCCGAUCGUGGGGGAUAACGCAGCGAAAGCUGUGCUAAUACCGCAUACGAUCUACGGAUGAAAGCGGGGGAUCGCAAGACCUCGCGCGGACGGAGCGGCCGAUGGCAGAUUAGGUAGUUGGUGGGAUAAAAGCUUACCAAGCCGACGAUCUGUAGCUGGUCUGAGAGGACGACCAGCCACACUGGGACUGAGACACGGCCCAGACUCCUACGGGAGGCAGCAGUGGGGAAUUUUGGACAAUGGGGGAAACCCUGAUCCAGCCAUGCCGCGUGCAGGAUGAAGGCCUUCGGGUUGUAAACUGCUUUUGUACGGAACGAAAAGGUCCUUUCUAAUAAAGAGGGCUCAUGACGGUACCGUAAGAAUAAGCACCGGCUAACUACGUG
rnacentral:rRNA from 1 species